AUUUAUAAAUUUUCAAUCGCAAUUGAGACUUGGCAAACGAUUUUGGAACAAAUUCACCUCGUGUCAUUUAUAGUAUAGAUUUUCACGAAUAAUCAUAAAGCCAGGUAACUGGUACCAUAAAAUCCUCAUAACGCGUAAGUUAUUCACAAUGAUUCAACAGUUCUUUUGAAAACAUGCAGUGCAAUCUGCAAUAUAAAUGGCACUACACGCAUAUCGGCUUUUCAAUCCGGCAAUUAGACCGGUCGAAUAGUAAUUUAGAACAAUGAUAGGAUCAAGUCUGUAUCCGAAGUAAAAAUCAGAUGAAAAAUAAAAGGAAACCGAUUAUGCGAAUGUAUUUGAAAAAUAUAACUCACCAUAAGCGAAGGCAAACAACAUGCAGGAUGCUGCGGCGAUUUGCCCGUCCUCGGACCGGUCGAACACUGUCCACUGUCCGGAGGCACUUCUGCUUUUAUACCUACCUGUGUGUCAAUGUCGCAGCUUCGCUUGAUCAAGUGGGGUAAACCAAGAGCACACAUUCACGAAAUUGUUCUGACGACUUUGGAAUUUGGUUUAAAACUAUUAAUAUCAUGACCGUUAAUGACCUUUCAGUUAAAAUCCGAUUAAAUUCGUGAUUGAUUUAAAUUGAUAUAAGUAAUGAAAGUAUAAUAAUUGAAAAUAAAGAAAGAAAAAAAAUCUUUUGCAUCGGUACAGGAAUAAUGCUCUACCCACCAUAUCCUGAAGAAUGCCUUUUUUAUGAUUUCAUUGAAAACGAAACACUGAUUUACGUUGAUGUAAUAAUGAAUACCCUAUAGACAUUCGAAAUAAUUAAUUAAUUAACAUACGGCAAACUUACCGCCUGGUGUAAGUAUUAUAUUCAUGC
rnacentral:misc_RNA from 1 species